rnacentral:rRNA from 1 species
GGGGCGAAAGACUAAUCGAACCAUCGAGUAGCUGGUUCCCUCCGAAGUUUCCCCUCAGGAUAGCUGGAACUUAUGAGAAAGUAGUUUUAUCAGGUAAAGCGAAUGAUUAGAGGUUUUGGGGAAGAAACUUCCUCGACCUAUUCUCAAACUUUAAAUAGGUAAGAUUUGAAGGAUACUUAAGUGAUCUUUCAAUCUCUUGAAUAUAAAGUUCUUAGUGGGCCAUUUUUGGUAAGCAGAACUGGCGAUGUGGGAUGAACCGAACGUUAAGUUAAAGUGCCAAAUAAUACGCUCAUGAGAUACCAUAAAAGGUGUUGGUUCAUUUUGACAGCAGGACGGUGGCCAUGGAAGUCGGAACCCGCUAAGGAGUGUGUAACAACUCACCUGCCGAAUGAACUAGCCCUGAAAAUGGAUGGCGCUUAAGCGUACAACUUAUACUUAACCCUUACUUGAAUUAUUAUAGCGAGUAAGGAGUAGGAGGG